rnacentral:rRNA from 1 species
CUUGGAAGAACGUAAGGCGCAAUCCCGCGUCGUUGUGAUAAAUUAUCAUAGAAGUAACUCUGUUACAUUAAGUUCUAGGUAAAUAUUUGAUAAUGACAAAAUUUAUCUAUAAGUCUUGACAAAUUCUCGUGCCAGCAGUUGCGGUAAGACGAGUAAGACAAGUGUUAUUCAUCUUUAUUUGGUUUAAAGGGUACUCAGACAGUUAAUUAAGCCUGCAUUUAAGAGGGAACUGGUUAAACUAGAGUUUAAUAGGAUAAGGCUAGAACGGUGAGUGUAGAGAUAAAAUACGUUGAUACCACUUAGAUGCUGGCAACGGCGAAAGCAACCUUUUAUGUAAAAACUGACGUUAAAGGACGAAGGCCCAAGUUAAGUAACAGGAUUAGAUACCCCAGUACUAAGGGCAGACAAUGAUGAGUGUCAUAGGUAAGUAAAAUAAUAUUUAUUAAAUUAUAUUAUAAUUAUUUGCGUAUAAAUGAAAGUGUAAGCACUCCACCUUAAGAGUAACAUGGCAACAUAGGAACUGAAAUCAUUAGACCGUUUCUGAAACCAGUAGUGAAGUAUGUUGUUUAAUUUGAUAAUCCACAAAGAACCUUACCACAAUUUGAAUGUUUUUAAAUUCACAGGAGUUGCACGGCUGUCUUCAGUUUAUAUCGUGAGAUUUUGGUUAGCUCCAUAAAUAAUCGUAAACCCUUACUUUAUUUUUUUCAUAAAGUAUUCUUUCACCGUUUGUCGGUUUAAGGUAAUAGGGACUAAGACAAGUCAUCA